AAUCUUCCGCAAUGGACGUAAGUCUGACGGAGCAACGCCGCGUGAGUGAUGAAGGUUUUCUGAUCGUAAAACUCUGUUGUUAGAGAAGAACACGUACCGUUUGAAUAAGGCGGUACCUUUACGGUACCUAACGAGGAAGCCCCGGCUAACUACGUGCCACCAGCCGCGGUAAUACGUAGGGGGCAAGCGUUGUCCGGGAUUAUUGGGCGUAAAGCGCGAGCAGGCGGUCUUUUAAGUCUGAUGUGAAAGCCCACGGCUCAACCGUGGAGGGUCAUUGGAACCUGGGAGACUUGAGUGUAGGAGAGGAAAGUGGAAUUCCACGUGUAGCGGUGAAAUGCGUAGAGAUGUGGAGGAACACCAGUGGCGAAGGCGACUUUCUGGCCUACAACUGACGCUGAGGCGCGAAAGCGUGGGUAGCGAACAG
rnacentral:rRNA from 1 species